UGACAUACAAGUUGGGGAAUGAGAGGGCGUUGUUCCUCUACCUUAAAAGCUUCUACAACCGUGAGAUGGUGUCGUGUUGCUGUACUAAUGACAUGGAAUGGCUGCAGUCCUGUACAACAUGGAGGAGGGAGAAGGAUGGAGGGGGGAAGUUUGGGAUGCAUGUCCCGGUGCAGUGGUUGAGGUGGAGGCUAGACAUUCGUCACAAUAUGCCUGGAAGUGAGUCGCCCUUUCAGUGCGAUUUACCGCCCUGCCGUGAACCGACACUCCGCAAGUGCGGGAGGCAACCACCAGCCUGACACAGGAUAAAGCCCAGUGCUAGGCUGCAGAGAGAGAGAGGGGAGGGGAGAGAGAGGACAGAGCGUGGUGUGAUAAGAGAAGCGAUGAUCUAGAACUUAACUACCUCUCAAAGUCAUCGCACUCUCCAUGGAGCGAGAGAGAGAAGGAGGGAGCGAGCGAGCGAGCGAGCGACGCAUUAAGCAGGAAGCGAUGCAGUGCAUGUUGCUCGCGCAAGAGGCUCCCCCUCCUCCCUUGCCCUCGACCCCCCGAUGCCCUUCGCUCGGCGCGAAGUGUGCACAUCCUUCCCUCCCGACAUGCAACGCAACAUGCAGCAGCAUUAAACUUGUACAUCUUGGCGAGAUUCCUCCUCAGCCAUCACCCCCUUACUCCCCAUACCCACCCCAUGCCCUCGAAUCCACCCUGGGGUAGUCAGCGCGUUGUGUAACACACGACAGACAGAAGGCGGGCUAUUCCCGCACUGCAGUGAGCGCGCGCGCGCACACACACACACGCACGGAGUAGAGGCCCCUGGUUUGCCUCGCCAACUGGAGUUUGCAAGGGCGAGCAGACCGGAGCGGCUUGCCCUGCCGAGUUCCCUCCCCCUCCCGCUAACUCGACCUCCUCCUCUCUCACUCCGUGAGAACACUGGGCGGCUAGCUAAGCCAGCAAGCCCAUCAUACGACAUGCAACAACCCUCUGACUGCACGGCGCCCGAUAUUAACUGACACACACCACUCCAUUGCGCCUCUACUAUCUGACAUACAUCACAUAAUGCACCACCGAGCUUCUCCACGACGACGACGACGGUGGUCAUAAGGCUCGGCUUGUUGUGUUGCGCGUGUGUGUGGUGUGCGUGCGUGUACUGCACGAACCCCUCGCUGUUGCCAACCGUCGUCGACCUGUUGACUACUUGUGACACCAAACUACUACAGGUCAUUUUUUUUCUCUCUCUCUCUCACAGGAACCACUUGCUACUGUGUCCAUCCAUCCAGCCAGCCAGCCAACCAGCAUGAGGUGCGAAAUCACUUCGCUGUGUCAACUUUAGAAAUCUCAGCUCCGGUCUCAACGUGUCUCCAAGAAUUAAAAAAAAAAAGCCCAGCAGGCAAUGUGUGCGAGCAACUUUUCGACUCGAUUCGCUGGAAGUGCGUUUGUUCCUCCAUUAAAACUGUUCCCACCACCGUCACCAUCACCACCACCACCACUACCACUAAGGCACAUCCAACCAGUGCGUUAUGUCAUCGUCUCACUGAGUCUGCUUUCUUCAUGCUCGAGAGCCUGUCACCUUCCGCGGCUAUCUUGUGCCUUGGCACACACACACACAGCGGCUGUAGGGCGACGUGGUGGUGGUAGUGGUGGUGAUGGUGGUGGUGGGUGAAGGAACGGUAUCGCUGACCUGACGAUGGCAGGCAGGUCGGGACGCCCCCCCACCAGUAUCGACCGCCCAGGCCAUCGAUACAACACUGCCUCACUUCUAUUCUCGGCUACACGCCUGCUGUAUCGGGCAGUCUGGCAGCAAGCAAAUGGCCCCUAAGUGUCAUCAUUCCUACAAAACAAAUUAACAUUCCAAAUUGUCUCAGGGCGACGGAAGGCCACAACUGCUGCUGGCCAGUGUCUCACUUGUCGGACCACGGUCAAGGUUCAUGCUGUGAGUGAGUGACCGACCGACCGACCGACUCAGGUGUGUUGUUGGCAAAGAUGAAACGACUCGACAAUUACCCCCAUCAUCUCCCUCUUUAAACCCGCCGAGAGCUGUGUUUACUAUAAUCCAUGCGCCUUUCGGAUCAGCUCAGGAUGAUGAAAGCAUCAAGCUGUGCUCUCAUGUCGACAGCAGGGGUGUGAGAAAGCUCCAAUUCGAGACUCGGUGGGGGAUGUGAAGAGGUGACUGAGUGGACCAUAUCCUACCAUCCGCUGACAAGUCUAGAUGCACUUGAAAUAGUAAAUAGGUCUUGUGUCGAGACUUGUCGAGGGCGUCAGAUCGUGCGCGUCAGAAAACGGCUCAGCUGAUGCCUCAUCUUGGCACGCUGCACCACAUGGUAGAUGUUGUGCCUCGAGUCUGUUGACGCUAGGUCCUGCCACAUGUGUCACACAUUUCAAAGGUGCACCGACUGUGGGUUCUUCUUGCUCGAGAUGUACGAGAACCGAAACAAGCUUGGCACAAGCUUCGUCUUCUGUUUUGUUGACGUAACUAACCGGGAAAAACCAACAACAAAAACAAACAAAAAAUGUCACACACACACACCUACACACACAUGUACAUCAAUCUUCAGAACGACACGACGACUGGUGCGACUUGCUGCACACGCCAACGGCUCACAGCAACAGGCUUCAGACAUUGUCUUUCCUCCUUCAUCUCUGACGUCACAUACCGGGAAUUCAACAUCACAAAAUACUGCGCUAGUUAAUAUUCAACACACCCUCCUUCUCCUCCCUGCACACAAGUCGACCUGGCUUCAAGAGGGAGGAUGAGGAGGAAAGGAGGAGGAGGAUUCGUCACAGAAUCUCACAUAAUUGAGUGCACAUCCAUCCUUCUCGCUGCCUCCCUCGCCAAACUUCGUCAUCCUUAGGAAACAAUCAUCCGCAGCCACAAUUCUGCCAAAAGAUUGACGACCCAAAACAAACCGUCUGCAAAUCUUUUCGCGCCCGAAGCUCGAGCGCAAGAGAUUUAUUGAAAGCCACCCCUCGCAGGACACAUCUCCGAUGCCUCCGCCGCCGUCGCCGCCGCCACGUACAACGUAGUGUAGUUUCCGUUGGAAAGAUCUGUGUUGCUGACAUGCAGAUGAAUGUCAACCGACAGACAAGCUUUGGAAGAACAAACGCCAGUUUGGAAAAUUAAAAAAAAAAAUUGGCUGUGCCUAUAGCUCUUCAUUGUGUUGUCUAAAAGUGAUCAAGGCUUUUUUUUCUCCCUCGACCACAAAAGCCAGCAGUUUGUUGUUACAUCGAUGUUGUGCUUAGCAAAAUUGUUGCUGUCAACAGCACAGGUCUGUUUGCUGUCUAGGAUUUACUAAAACCCAUGUUUACGUAUUCAACUAACGACGACUGUCAUCUAAAGCAAGUGGGCAAAGGAGGCUUACCUAAAGGACUGCUGAACUCGGUCGUUAUGGUUACAGUCACCGUGGAGACUGAUUAGCUUCAGCUCCCAUCUCAGAACCUUCAGUGUUGUAAGAUAGUCAAGGCGCAGACUAGUCAUAUCCCCAUUCAAAACAGGACUGGGACUGGUUGAAAAGCAGCACGCACGUGAGCAGGUAGGGUGAUCAUGGUCUUUAACAGAAGUUCACUUCUCUCAUCGCACACUCUUAACAGUAAUAAGUUCAAAAUAUGUCAGCAAGAUCACCACAAUAGCUGGAGAAGAACAGUUAAAUUCAUAUUAAUGUUUAUUUAUAUAAUUUAUGGUGACCUCGACCAGAGAAACAGGCUUACAUCAAUGUGUGUAAUUUUUUCUUUUUCUUAUUUUUUCUCAAAAAAAAUUUUAAAAAAAUGUCAGAAAAGUUUAUUCCUGGGCUAAACCGAAGAAUAAAAAUGCAGACAGCGUGGGUGGGAUAUUAUGUAUCACAUGAUUUCUCUCUCAUAUGUUAGAAACCUGUUUGAAAAGAGUUUGUUACGACGAUAAUCAUUAGACUGGUAAUGAAAACAGGAACAGAGAGAUAGAGAGAAAAACGACUGACUUGGCAAAACAUUAUGUCCCCUUGGUUAGCUACAGGUGUCUAAGCACAGGGCUAAUAUUAACAGGUAUUUCUAGUAGACAAUCACAUCCAUUGCAUACAUGACACAUUAUAAAGCCCCAAGUCGGAUAACAUACAUACACACACACCAACACAUACACAUUCGCACACAAUAAUCUCGCGUUUUCACGCCUAUGGUAGCACCGACCAAUCAGCUGUAUCCAGACAGACAGACAAGUUACACAGAAUGCUCACGUGACCUUCUUCGACAGACAGUCAAACGCGUGGACGACGAUCGCACCCCCACCGUGAAGGUGGGAGGGAAAGUUGUUGCCAGGUGCGCCUCCAACCCCCACACCUUCGCACCACAACCAUCACGACCACCACCCUGAAAGCUUUUGCCCCCCCUCCACUUACCCCUCCCACACACACGCACAUACACCUCCCCUCUCUCACCGACAUCGCAAUACGCGAGCACAGCCAAGGUGUGUAGUCAGUUCUCCGUGUGGUGCUGGUGGUGGUGGUGGUUGUGGAGGUAGCGGCGAUAGGUUUUUAGGCCGUCGUGCUGGUGCUGGUGGUGUCCUUCUCGACGACAGCGACGCCGCGCCGGCAGACAAGAGGAAGGUGGGCCGACGAAACGUCUGUGGAGGACGGCGAUGAGCCGGGGCGACGGAUGAGAAGAGCGCACAGCCUCCUGCUCUCGCCCAAAGGGGGAAAAAGAAAAGCCAGGGGAACGAAUAGACAGGAGGCUUCCUCGGCUGGUCGGGAGGAGAAGCAGUAUCUAGGUCGUCUGGCAUAUCUUGCUCCAUAUUCCACGACCACAAGCGAAAAAGGGCUGGAGCCGCUGACUACGAAAACCCCCAACCGAUCGCCCCCCUUCCUCCUCCACCCCCACCGACAUCGCCCGCCAGUCACUGGCUGGCUGUAAGAGCGCAUCACCUCUCCCCUACCUAUCCCCCACCCACACACUCCUCUGCCGUCUCUCUCUCUCUCAGCCACCCACCCCACCCCACCACCCAGCUUCCCCCUUGCGCUUGCUAUACUAUUGGAGUUGUCUGCAGUCACGGCUCGCCUCGUAGACGCUGCUGCAAGGUCCUCUCUCUCUCCGCCAGCUUCUUCCUCACUCCCAGUCCGCCUGUUUAUCUUUCUGUCCGUCGCUAGCUGACUUCUUAACCCCUCCCCUAACACCAUCUCCCCCUUUCUCUCUCUUCCUCCUACUGUCUUGCUGCCCGCCUCCACGCCUCGCGUCAUUGGAUUUCAUCUCUUCCUCCUGUCGUUCUUACCUUCUUCUAAGCCCCCAACCCCACCCACAACCCCCGAUUCUUCUAUUUGUGCACGGCAUGCAUGCACGCGCGCAAACGCACAAACACAGAGACAGUUAUGCACGGAGGAUAGGAGCAAAUAGUUCACAACAAUCUGCACCCACGGACCUUUUGGUCUCAAGUCAACAGUGGGGAGAAAAAAAACAACAACCGGCAGUUCCAAAUUUUGCUGCCGACCACACCCCUUGCAGAUUUUUGUUGACUGUUUACUAAGUCGUUGUGGUUUGUUUGUUUUUUGUUUUUUUUUAAUUUUGCUUUUCAAACUUUGCUUCAUUUUCUUCACUCAGAUGUUGGAUGUAAAAACUUUUGCGCUCCUCUAAAUACAUGCUACCACUUGACAAAUUUUUUUUUUUCAAUUUUUUUUUUUUUUUGGUUUGGUCGAGGGGUGAGAAGUUUUUACACUCCAGUGAACUUUGUGGACCUCAUCACUUGCCCAGAUUGACUAGUCCGGUCAAUACUUUGGUUAACAUGACAACCUGGCAACAGUAGACAUCUUUGUCGUGAAAGAACCUCUCAUAUUAUAAAUUAUUAUUAUUUAUUGUCAGUACCGUUUUGUGGGACGGGGUAUAAUACAUUAAUCACGUGCAAAUUCUUGUCAUGUGAUAUAGAUCAUGUCGGAGUGAAACUUGUUUCAACUGAAAGUAACUCGUCUCUAGAAUCUUAAAAAAAAUCCGUCAACGGACUGUAUCUUUCGAGAAUGUUCAUCGACUGUCCUUUAGAUGUGUGUAUGUGGCGAUACAUGACCAGUCUGCACCCUUAUUUCUCUCCCUCUACCCGGCACCUCAAUUUUCUUCAACUCUCCUUUUUCUCUGCGCAUCUGGUCAAGGGAGAUGAUUUCAGGUAAGACAAACCUUGCCAGAGUUAGCGCAGCUUAGCCAAGCAUAGCAUCACCUGAAUGUUCCACCUCGCGCCUUGCUAUUUACCGGAUGGAAGGUGUUUACCUGUAAUCUAUUGUCACGUGUCUCUACCUCGGCAGGUGUAGGAACGGACAACCGUGGUGUAUCUGUUAAAGGUCAACCCGAGAAAUACCAAACAUAAAGUCAAAGCUGCGGGGUAAUUAACAUAAUAGAAGCUGUUAAUUUUUUUCUGCCGUAAUUUUUAUUUGUAGACAAGCAGACGUGGAAUGACUGAUAUUCGUGCUUCUGGCAUCAUUAAAGGUUACAGCCUGUGCCUGAGCUUCAAGCACGUGUUAACAAGGCGUCGGCCAAUCAGCAAGCCGACAUAUGUCACGUGACAGGAAAUAACGACUUAGCCUCUUUGAAAAACCCAGGUGAGAACUGCAAUGUUCAAAGGCUUGAUUCUCAUGAACAGAAUAGAGCUUUUUUGAUAAAAUUUUGUGAAUGAACAUAUUUUAAUGAAGUAAAUUUAAAAAAAAAAUAAGUAUGAACUCGAGUUGGUCUUUAACACGCAGCUGUACCAAUCGUCUGGAAUCAGCAGUCUGCAAGCACUAUUUGUGGCUGGUAGGAGUGGGCGGGAGAGGAUUGGAAAUCUUUGUAAUGUUUAGAAACGAGACAUACCAUCACCGAUCGUCAUUUUAGAAACCGAGAAAAUGAUAUUCGUGGCAUUUGAUACAUACGAUGUCUGGGUGGUCGAGAACAUCAUGAUAAAACUAAUUACAUGGUAUAGACUUAUAUGGCCCUCGGUACAUACAUAUACGUGUUGUAUAAUUUUAUCUGAGGUUCUUUUGUUCUUUGUUCCUCGUAUAUUCUUCUAUAAGGAACUGUAAAGGUGUAUGUGAUUACACACUCAAACUCCGUGUGAAACUUAAUCAUCGUAGUUUUAGAUAGGACAUUGUAAACAUGAUUUAUAAGAGUCCAUAGAAUCUUAUGAAGAGAAAUACUGAGGGAAAUGUUUAACUUGCUUGCUGUGUGUGUAACUAAGUGUAAUACAGCAAACAAGGUGUUUGCAGUUACACAAGAAAAUUAACUAUGAAACAUCACCAUUGGCUUUCAGAUAUAAUAUAGCAAACACGAUUUAUAAGAUAGAUAAAAAUAAGGGAAAUUUUAACUAGUUAUCUGUCGGCAUGUUAGAAACAACAAACUUUCGCGAUUGCGCACAAAAAGCAAUAUAAAGUGUGACAAAAGUAAGAUUUAUAAGGCUACACAUGAAAAUAGCGCACAUAACAUUUUCACCUGUUACCUGUCGAAAGGUAGGUGCGGGAAUCAUCUUUCCAUUCCAGGUAAAAAGACAAAUGUUCUCUGGGAGUAAUCAAUGAUGUGUAGAAGAAUGUAAAUCAAACUGUUUCACUAUCCUAUCUUGGAAAAAGAAUAUUUACAGAAAAUUUCAUUGGCUGCCAUCUUGAAUGUCGGUUAACGGGUUUGGCUUCCUCAUCUUCUCCACCCCUGUACCCGCCGCUACCCGGUCCCCUUGCCGUUGAUUGUCUUUCGGUUUUCAGAAUCGUCUUGACAUAUCUUACUCCCUACCCUCAUCACCAGGACUAUAAGUUUAAAAGAUUUUUUGAAAGUUUAUUUAACUUUAUUUGACAAUAUCGAAUAUUGCAGUUGAUUGUUGGUUUCUCAGGGGUGGAGUAUCAGGCCAAAUGGGACAGAUGGCAAUUAAACAAAUAUGCGGAUGGAACAGUUUGUAUACACGCACGUAUGCAUGCAUGAAUAAACCUAUAUUCUUACUUAUUUUUAUAUAAUUUCAUUACGAACAUAGGUGUAUAUGUCAAUUGUUUGAUUGUCUGUCUGCCUGUCAAGCUGCCAUAGUCCGUUCUCAAGUAGUGAUAACAGCAUAGUAUUCACACCUAGCACACAAACUACUUUUUGCCAUAAUACAUGUACAUCCCAAGUUUACAGCACGCAAUGAAAAACAAACAAACAAACAAACAAACAAAACAAACAAAAAGCUGUUAAAACAUUGCACGGAUUUUGAGUUCAAGUAUAGGUUGCUUGCAUAUUCAAUAUCCAAGCUUGUAAGUCAGAUAUUUGUUUUGUGUUUUGAGUUCUCCUGCUGGUCUAUCAUUACAUGAUGUCCCUAUCAUAAUGAACAACAUUAGUCGGACAAUAUGAGACGAGGUUCACAUCCCAUCGUUUUGUUUCGUUUUUUUUUUUUUUCAAACAGCCAGUCUCAAUCAAGUAUUAAGUAAGCCUGUUUCUGAAAUACUAGUUCUAAUUUAUCUUCUGUUUUAGGAUAAUCACUGUAAUAUAACCCUUAUUAUGAUAUUAAAUAUAAGCUUGUUUUGUAUUAACAUAUUACAGGGCUGUCUGAGAUUUGUUACAAAAUAAUUUCAGACAUUCCAGCCUUGAUGUCAGCUACAAAAACUUAGAAUUUUAAGACAGUUUAAAACUUUUAAAGCUUGUUUCACUUACCACCUGUGGAAAUGUUGUGAUACAGGUGGACAACAACAACAGUGAUACACCGGCAAGCCAUUACUAGUCAGCAGCAAGUGUAACAUGUCACGAGGUGCAAUCGUGUUCCUUUAGUGUGAAGUAGAAGCAGGUGGAAGACAAUACACUUCUCCUUCUUUUAGAGAGGGAAAACUAUUUACGAAGGAAAUUGAGAAGAAAGAAAAUAAAAACUGAGGAUGCAAGAAGGAACGAAAAAAGAAACAAAAAUGAAGAAAGUAAUGAAACUUUUCUUGCUAAAUGUUUCGAGCUUACAAACCUAUCGUCAAAUCUGUUGUAAGUUUACAAGCCUGUCAUCAAAUGAAUUGGUUCGAGUUUACACGAUUGUCAUCAACCGAAUUUACAGGCCUUUCGAGUUAGAAGUCUGUCAUCAUCAAAUAGUUCAUUUGAUGAUAUGUUUGUAAACUCCAACCAAUUAGGUAAUACAACUCUUCUUUGUUUCCACCAUGUGCGAAGUGAAAAAAAAAAGAGCCCUCCCCAGGACCAUGACCCCUUCCCUUGUCCCCCAAUCCAGACCAAGCCUGCAGGGAAUAGGAACCCUCCCUAGACCUGGCCUCUUUGUCUCUUGUAUUUUAUGCUUCAGUACUCUUGUGUUCACUCUAUUCAUAUACGAAGGCCGCCAGAGCUAAGCUUGCUGGAGAAGAAUCUGGAAGCUUCUCCCAGACAGACAGUAUUCUCCUCAGACCAAGGCUCAUUAUGAUGUGAUGAAGCGAGCAUAUGGUGUCGACUGUGUGACUUUGUGUUGGCGAGCAGAACAAUUUGUCAAACAUAUUCAAUAUAAUGGCUCCGAAAAAAGGCAAUUCAUCAAAGACACUCUCUUGAAGCAAAGUAGAAAGUAGACAGAGAGAUAUAGACAGUCUACACUUGAUUUGGGGUGUGGGGAGGUUGUCCCUUUUCCCCCCUUGUCAGCUCAGACCUUCAACCUCAAAAACCUUUUCACUGGAAGUAGGUACUCCAAGCUGAUUUUUGUUAACCAAUUAAACUACCUAGACAAACAUAUUUUUAAAAUUCUGAUUGAAUGGUACUGAGAGUCUUUCUAUAUCUCAAAUUGUAACAAAGUUCCGAUGUUUUAAUAUUUUAAUUUCCAGGUAAAUUAUUGCACAAAACAGAUAAUAAAAUGCUGAUUUUGGAAAAUCCUACACUAAUAGUUAAGCACUCUUAGAACCAGCCAUCUGGUAGCACUACAAAGAACUGGGUUAAUUUGUUUCUGGACAGCUAGGUACUGAAACAUACUGGUAAUAUGAUUGAAAAUUACGAUUUCAAGCAAAUGAUACUGCUUUGAAACAGCAGCGUUACUGACACCUAGAUAAAAAAGCAAGUUCUAAUUAAGUUACAGAAAUGGAUCAAUGGAUUCAGAUUCUUGAACCCUUUUUAAAAAAAGUGUCUACUCAUUUUGUUCCACUGCACUUCAGACUUGCAUCAGAUGUUGUGUGAGCUGUUCAUGAAUAAAAUAACAGAUUUUAAUCAAUAUCAGAAGUACAAUCUCGGGCAGAAAACAUCCACUCACAUAUCUGCUUACUAAUUUUUUUUUGUCAUAGCUGUCAGCAAUGGCUGUAAUAUCUGGAGCCUGACAGAUUCUGUCAUCACUGGCAGAACAUUAAAGCACCGACGGAACACAAAUCACGAUUCUACUUCAUCUGUGCCUGACCACUAGAGAAAAAUCAUUUCUUUAGAUGUCUUCUCAGAAAACUGGACAAUUGCAGGAAUUUGGUGAGAAAAUGUUCACAUCCUGCCCAGUAUAAUAUUGAUGAUCAUAGCAGACGGUCAGCUACUGGUCAUGCCUACUAAAGGUGAACAUGCCUGAGAGAAAUGUGUCAUCAGUUGUUUGAAGAACAUUUUCUUGUUAGUGUUCAAUGGGGUAGGCUUGUAUACUGCAACCCAUACUACUGACUUGACAUUUUGGUAGUCUGCAGUGGCAGAUGGGAAUACAACAUCUCUCUAAAGUUGUGGAAAACACCAGAAAAAUAUAAGUCAAGGAGAUCAGAUGUAUCUUCUCCCCAUUUUUCAACACUAUGUUCCUUGCUUUGCUCAUAGAGAAGGAGACCUGUGUCUGUGAUUUUACUGUCAACCAAGGCCCAGAAAGGACCUGUGAGACCAAAAUACAGCAGAGCAAUGGCACAGACAAGGCACAGGAGAUUAUUGUCACUGCAGUCAGCAUGCACACUAUUCAGGUUGGUAGUGAGAAACUUGUUAGUGUGGCCCGGUGUCUCACUACCAAGCAGUCCUUUAAGAUGGUCCUUGUGAUGAAUAAUGGCGGCAUCAGCUUCAAACACGCAGUUAAACCGGUUGGAGCGGAAACUUGUCAUGUAGCUCUUGGUUUGGACUUCCCCACAGUGGGUGUAGCAGGAUGAAUCGUUGACUAAUAUGACCCGUUGAAGCGAGGCAUGCUCAUGCGUAGAAACUAUGGAUCUUCUAGUGUUGUUGAAUGAAUUAGCAGACAUUUUCGUGGUAUUUUUCUAAAUCAAAACCAAUAAUAAAGCGUGAGUUGUAUG